UACGUAGGGUCCAAGCGUUAUCCGGAAUCACUGGGCGUAAAGCGUGCGUAGGUGGGUGUUUAAGUGAGAGGUUAAAUCGUGUGGCUCAACCAUAUCGAUGCUUUUCAUACUGGGCACCUAGAGGACAGCAGAGGCAAGUGGAAUUGGUAGUGUAGCAGUGAAAUGCGUAGAUAUUACCAGGAACACCAAUGGCGAAGUCAGCUUGCUGGGCUACUCCUGACACUGAGGUACGAAAGCGUGGGGAGCGAACAGG
rnacentral:rRNA from 1 species